GCCCGUGUUGCCCAAUGGUUAGAGGAUUGGCCUGCACACCGAAGGGCCAUGGGUUCGAUUCCCAGUCAAGGGCA
rnacentral:tRNA from 1 species